GCCGGAGGGGAGGAAUGCGGCAGGCGGAAAACUUAGGAAGAGCUGGAUGCCUCCCACGGAGAGCGUCCCUUCCAAGCGGCCCCGGAGUGGAGUGGAGUGGAGUGGAUAGGGGUAGACUUUUCACACGGGGACAAAUUAUUACAGGAUAUCUGCGCCCCCUGUUCCGAGUCACUCGGGGCCAUCGGUUACUUCAGCAGGUUCUCUGCAUCACGGACCCUUUUGAGGCUCAGGUAAAAGUUUGGAUCCUCUCCCCACAAACGAGCAAAAUUAUCUGUACAUUGAAAAUUAUGCAUUGAGAAAAUUCACAUUACUCUAGAAACCCUUAGACUGCAGUUCCUAACCCAAGUUAAGAACCCGCGGUCCAGGAACUAGGGGUAACGAUAGAAGAGAGACUUGUUUUUCUUUGUAUAACCAUUUGCACCGUUGUAACUUUUUGACCAUGUUUCUUUAUCCAAAUGAAAUUUCCGAAAAAAGAAAACUCCUGCCCCAGAACUUCGUAGGAAAACUAGCUUGAUUAUGGAAUUACAAAUAAUAGUAAGAGAAAAAAGGCUAAGUGGUGGCCGUGAUAGGACUUAAUGGUAUUUCAAUUCCCAGAGUUACAGUGGCGGCUUCAAGGGAUUGUUGAAUAAUUGGGAGUACUUGUUUCAGCUUCUUUCCUUCCUCAGCCUGAACAUCUGCUGUUUAUGUAACUUAAUUUCCUAAGUCUGCGAUUUCAAGAAUUUGAUGCAACAUCUUUCUGUUCUAGGAAUUUACCAUGGAAAUUAUUGGCCAUAAUUGUUGGUGACACUAUCAAACUCAUAGUCACUCUAUAACGAUGUAAGUCCAGAAAACAGCCAUAAUAAUAAUGUCCUGAUUGAUAUUUAGAGCUAAAAGAAGUGGAAAGAGUUAUUUCAAUUUACCCUUCACCUGGUACUUCAGUGUUAAGUGGUUAAAUAAUUCCACAAAAAAUAAACACUCUUAAUCUUCUUCAGUC
ensembl:lncRNA APPBP2-DT APPBP2 divergent transcript